CCUACGGGAGGCAGCAGUGAGGAAUAUUGGUCAAUGGACGAGAGUCUGAACCAGCCAAGUAGCGUGAAGGAUGACUGCCCUAUGGGUUGUAAACUUCUUUUAUAUGGGAAUAAAAUGUUCCACGUGUGGCUUUUUGUAUGUACCUUAUGAAUAAGGAUCGGCUAACUCCGUGCCAGCAGCCGCGGUAAUACGGAGGAUCCGAGCGUUAUCCGGAUUUAUUGGGUUUAAAGGGAGCGUAGGUGGAUUGUUAAGUCAGUUGUGAAAGUUUGCGGCUCAACCGUAAAAUUGCAGUUGAUACUGGCAGUCUUGAGUACAGUAGAGGUGGGCGGAAUUCGUGGUGUAGCGGUGAAAUGCUUAGAGAUCACGAAGAACUCCGAUUGCGAAGGCAGCUCACUGGACUGCAACUGACACUGAGGCUCGAAAGUGUGGGUAUCAAACAGGAUUAGAUACCCGGGUAGUC
rnacentral:rRNA from 1 species